UACGGGGGGGGCAAGCGUUGUUCGGAAUUACUGGGCGUAAAGGGUUCGUAGGUGGCCAACUAAGUCAUACGUGAAAUCCCUCGGCUCAACCGGGGAACUGCGUCUGAUACUGGAUGGCUUGAAUUCGGGAGAGGGAUGCGGAAUUCCAGGUGUAGCGGUGAAAUGCGUAGAUAUCUGGAGGAACACCGGUGGCGAAGGCGGCAUCCUGGACCGAGAUUGACGCUGAUGCGCGAAAGCCAGGGGAGCAAACGGG
rnacentral:rRNA from 1 species